rnacentral:rRNA from 1 species
UACGUAGGUGGCGAGCGUUGUCCGGAUUUAUUGGGCGUAAAGAGCUCGUAGGCGGUUCGGCAAGUCACGUGUGAAAUCUCCACGCUUAACGUGGAGGCGCCACGUGAAACUGCCGUGACUCGAGUCCGGUAGGGGAGUGUGGAAUUCCCGGUGUAGCGGUGAAAUGCGCAGAUAUCGGGAGGAACACCAGUAGCGAAGGCGGCACUCUGGGCCGGUACUGACGCUGAGGAGCGAAAGCGUGGGGAGCGAACAGG